rnacentral:rRNA from 1 species
UACGAAGGGGGCUAGCGUUGCUCGGAAUCACUGGGCGUAAAGCGCACGUAGGCGGCUUUCUAAGUCAGGGGUGAAAUCCUGGAGCUCAACUCCAGAACUGCCUUUGAUACUGGAGAGCUCGAGUCCGGAAGAGGUGAGUGGAACUGCGAGUGUAGAGGUGAAAUUCGUAGAUAUUCGCAAGAACACCAGUGGCGAAGGCGGACUCACUGGCCGGUACUGACGCUGAGGUGCGAAAGCG